GUCUGAAGGCAUAUCACCUUGAACAGCCCAAAUCUCAUCUGUUUUCAGAAGCUAAGCAGGGUUGACUGCAUCCAGUACAUUCCAGCAGGAU
rnacentral:rRNA from 1 species